CCGUGGGGCUCUUCCUUGUCACCUUCGUCCUCUACGGCCUCUUCUGGUGGCUCGGUGGCUCCGCGCCGCAGCCCCCUGACAAGAGCCAGAAAUCCGAGUGAGGCCGAUGGAGGCGCCGCGGGACCCUGGAAAAUAAAAAUGUUUCCCCA